rnacentral:tRNA from 1 species
UUCGAUAUAGUGUAAUGCAGCACUCCGGUCAGUGGGACCGGAAGUCCAGGUUAAAUUCCUGGUAUCGAAAC